rnacentral:rRNA from 1 species
CUUAGUGGCGGACGGGUGAGUAACACGUGAGCAACCUGCCUAUCCUAGGGGGAUAACGUUCUGAAAAGAACGCUAAUACCGCAUAACGUGCGAGGGAGACAUCUCUCUUGUACCAAAGGAGCAAUCCGCUGAUAGAUGGGCUCGCGUCCGAUUAGGUAGUUGGUAGGGUAACGGCCUACCAAGCCGACGAUCGGUAGCCGGACUGAGAGGUUGAACGGCCACAUUGGGACUGAGACACGGCCCAGACUCCUACGGGAGGCAGCAGUGGGGAAUAUUGCACAAUGGGGGAAACCCUGAUGCAGCGACGCCGCGUGAGGGAAGAAGGUUUUCGGAUUGUAAACCUCUGUCCUUGGUGACGAAAAUGACGGUAGCCAAGGAGGAAGCCACGGCUAACUACGUGCCAGCAGCCGCGGUAAUACGUAGGUGGCAAGCGUUGUCCGGAAUUACUGGGUGUAAAGGGAGCGUAGGCAGGAAGAUAAGUUGGACGUCUAAUCUAUCGGCUCAACCGAUAGUCGCGUUCAAAACUGUUUUUCUUGAGUGAAGUAGAGGUAAGCGGAAUUCCUAGUGUAGCGGUGAAAUGCGUAAAUAUUAGGAGGAACACCAGUGGCGAAGGCGGCUUACUGGGCUUUAACUGACGCUGAGGCUCGAAAGCGUGGGUAGCAAACAGGAUUAGAUACCCUGGUAGUCCACGCUGUAAACGAUGAUUACUAGGUGUGGGGGGGACUGACCCCUUCCGUGCCGGAUUUAACACAA